UGAUGAUUUAGAAAGAAAUGUUACCCAGGACUAUGUACUGUACUAAUAUUCGGAAAAAUGUAUGCUUGUAUCUCUUUCAGGUCAAAAAAAUGGUCUUGUGUGGGUUACAAACCAAUGCUUGCUUGCGUACACUCUGGUGCUCCAGUUAAAGAUCCAAAGCUAUAAUGUACUCCUUCCGUUUCCUUUUAGACUGCAUAUAACUUUUGUCUGAAGUCAAGGUAUCUUUAUUUUGACCAAACUUAUAGAAAAAACAUAUCAACAUUUACAAGGCCAAAAAAUAUCUUUAGAUUCAUUAUGGAAUUUAGUUUCAUAUUAUGUAUAUUUUGUAUUGUAGAUGAUGAUAAUUUUUUAUACAAAUUUGGUCAAAGUUUGUAAAGCUUGACUCAACAUAAAACUUAUAUGCGGAGUAAAAAGGAAUGGAGGGAGUAUUGUGAUGAGUAACCAUCAGUUGGUGAAGCCAUUCUCUUAUGAAUACUACUGCAUCUCUCUCAUCUCUUUUAUUGAGUGAGCACUUGCGACGAGACAUGCAGGAACAAAAACCACAAGAAGAUUACAAAUGAAGUCACAACGAGCUGAGCAGAGUAGCUGGCGAUCAAAUGAUUUCGGGUCCCUGCUAGCUAUUUCUGAUCUUGAAGCUAUUCCUUCAGGACACAUGAUUACACUAUAUUACAAGUUGAAAAAGUGUGUAAAGUGGAAGUUAGUACUAAAGCAGAUUGCUCUUUUUGAUCCGCCAACAAAUUUUAGUCAAGUGGAAACACAAACUAGGACGUGCAAUUUUUUUUCCCGUUGCAACGCACGGGCCCUCUUGCUAGUAAUAAUAAAGCACGGAUUGGGUCUU